rnacentral:rRNA from 1 species
AGUGAACGCUGGCGGUAGGCCUAACACAUGCAAGUCGAACGGCAGCACAGGAGAGCUUGCUCUCUGGGUGGCGAGUGGCGGACGGGUGAGGAAUACAUCGGAAUCUACUCUGUCGUGGGGGAUAACGUAGGGAAACUUACGCUAAUACCGCAUACGACCUACGGGUGAAAGCAGGGGACCUUCGGGCCUUGCGCGAUUGAAUGAGCCGAUGUCGGAUUAGCUAGUUGGCGGGGUAAAGGCCCACCAAGGCGACGAUCCGUAGCUGGUCUGAGAGGAUGAUCAGCCACACUGGAACUGAGACACGGUCCAGACUCCUACGGGAGGCAGCAGUGGGGGAUAUUGGACAAUGGGCGCAAGCCUGAUCCAGCCAUACCGCGUGGGUGAAGAAGGCCUUCGGGUUGUAAAGCCCUUUUGUUGGGAAAGAAAUCCAGCUGGCUAAUACCCGGUUGGGAUGACGGUACCCAAAGAAUAAGCAUCGGCUAACUUCGUGCCAGCAGCCGCAGUAA